GUCCGCUGACGAGUCCCAAAUAGGACGAAAGGUGCGUCCUGGAU
rnacentral:hammerhead_ribozyme from 1 species